UGAGAGGGCGACCGGCCACACUGGGACUGAGACACGGCCCAGACUCCUACGGGAGGCAGCAGUGGGGAAUAUUGCACAAUGGGCGAAAGCCUGAUGCAGCGACGCCGCGUGAGGGAUGACGGCCUUCGGGUUGUAAACCUCUUUCAGCAGGGAAGAAGCGAGAGUGACGGUACCUGCAGAAGAAGCGCCGGCUAACUACGUGCCAGCAGCCGCGGUAAUACGUAGGGCGCAAGCGUUGUCCGGAAUUAUUGGGCGUAAAGAGCUCGUAGGCGGCUUGUUGCGUCGGUUGUGAAAGCCCGGGGCUUAACCCCGGGUCUGCAGUCGAUACGGGCAGGCUAGAGUGUGGUAGGGGAGAUCGGAAUUCCUGGUGUAGCGGUGAAAUGCGCAGAUAUCAGGAGGAACACCGGUGGCGAAGGCGGAUCUCUGGGCCAUUACUGACGCUGAGGAGCGAAAGCGUGGGGAGCGAACAGGAUUAGAUACCCUGGUAGUCCACGCCGUAAACGUUGGGAACUAGGUGUUGGCGACAUUCCACGUCGUCGGUGCCGCAGCUAACGCAUUAAGUUCCCCGCCU
rnacentral:rRNA from 1 species